GCCAAUGACCUCACUGAGGACGCAGCGCUCCCCCACACGCCGCCCAUUGGCCGCGGCAGCCGCCCGUAAGAGCCGCGGCCCCGCCUCUCGAGCAAGGAGGAAAACACCCGAGGGACGCGACUAAGCACAAGAUGGCGGAGCUGGCUGGCCGCCAAGGCUCAGGCGGGGCUGCUGUGGCCGCCAUUAGGCCCCCUCCCCCUCCCCCGCCGGUACAUCCUCAUGUCAGGCUGUAAGGGGCCCGGGCAUAGCAGCAGGGGAACGGCCGUGUCCGCGUCCCGAGCUCGUCAUCGCCGCACCCCCGGACAGCAGGCUGCUCUCACCAAGACCGGACCGGCUGUGAGCUCAGGCGGCCCGCAUUCCAGCCCGCCGGCUCCGCAACGGGACUUACGCACCGGAUCGGCCCAGCACCUCACAAUGGUCCUCCCUCUCCCGCCAGGAGCUGCAGGCCAGCGAACGGCACAGCUGGCUCUCCCUUACCAGCGAAAUACCGGAGUCUUCGCAUACCCCCUCCCCUUAAAUCGAGCGCCACCCAUCCCCUUUGCCGCUCGCGGGGGUGCCCCGAGCAGGGUCCCGGUGCUCACCCCCCGCACCCCAUCCCUCCUCCUGACCCCAACGGGACAAACCCGCCGGGCCGCCUCAAUUUUAAAAACCGUUUGUUUUUUUUUACCUCAGGAACUGGCGCCAAACGUGCCCUGGCGGUGACCCUGACCCGGGCCCCGGCGGGCCGGUGUUGGGCAGCGAUGCCCGGCGGUGGCCCUACCCCGGCAGGGCGGCGGCGGUGGUGAAGGGGCUAUCGGGGUGCGGGGGGGCCGGGGCUGUGCUGCGGGGCUGCUGUGCGGGGGGUAUGUUUUGGUUUGUGUGCCGUGCCCUGUGAAAGGUCAGAGUUCGUGACCCCGCCCGCCGCUGCCGCCGCCUGAGAGCGUGUCCCCGCUUCCUCGUCCCCGCGCUAGGCCGGCCGCGGCCCCUUCAUCCCCCUCGCGGGGCGGGGCUGGGGACGGCGGCGGGGAGGGGCUACCUGGGCCUCUCCGAGCCUCGCCGGGAACGCUCCGCCGGGCAGCGCGGGACCGCUCCGUCGGGCUGGCAGCGGCGCUGGAGUGUGGGGAGAUAGAGGAGGCUCCGGGCCUCGGAGGCUGGUGCUGGGCCGCGGCAGCUGCCGGCGGAAGAGGACGCAGGGCGGCCACCUGAGCCUGGACGAUCCUGAUCCGCGCCCCGCUAUGGAACGCGAUGGGACGGCGCUUCCCUGCUCAGAGCAGCCCUCCACAGCUCGGUCCAAGGCUGGAGGUGACAAGCGGAGGCGGUGAUUGAGUGCGGGAUGGGUGCUGGUGCCCACGUGUGUGUUGGAUCUCCCGAGAGUUGCUCAGCUGAAGUUGCUCUUGCAGUUGAUGCUGGCACAGGGGUUGGCGUCAGGCUGUCCUGGGGUUUUCUUGCCUUCCCUAAGGUCGGUGUUGUUGAUGGGGCUCUCCCACCGGAGCUGGCUUGGGGGAAAAACGUGUUGCGCUUCCGAGUGAGUAACUGUAGGCAUGAGCAGAUGUGGCUCAGGUGGUUCAGGACCUUACCUACCACCUCCCGGUGCUUGUCGUCUCUUCCUAGGGCCGUUGGAUGUUGGCCCGUGACCCGGUUUGCUGUUGUAGCUGUGUGUAGCUAUUUCUUAACUUGCCCUUAUCAGAAUGAUCUUGGGCCUUCUACUAAGUUUCUGUUAAGUCUAGUUAUUUUGGCAGAAGCUAACUUAAGUAGUGAUCAGAUGAAAAAACCCUUGAAUAUCUGAAGUGAUAGUAACUCCUGAAAGGAAAAACAUGCAGGAGAAAGCAGCUGAAUGUAGCAAUCGCUGAAACAGGAGUUUCUGUUCGACUAGCAGCCUAAUUUGUUUGGGUUUUUUUGUUUUGUUUUUGGUUGGUUUUGUUAGAACGGCCCCUUUGGAGCAAGGAGAUGAGAAAUGAAGAAUGAUGCAUAUGAAUUGCAGUCUUGCUGUUACAAAACUGGAGUUAACAUUCAAGAACGUGUGUUUGCAAUACAUGAAUAAAGGAUAAUGUUUAAAAAAUGUCUUGGGUGUU
rnacentral:lncRNA from 14 species